rnacentral:lncRNA from 1 species
AUUUCUUUCUUAAAAAUUUUGUUUUGUUUUAAAUAUUUAUUAUUUUUAGUUGUGGUUGGACCCAAUAUCUUUUAUUUUUUAUGUGGUGCUGAGGAUUGAACCCAGGGCCUCACACAUACUAGGUGAGCGCUCUACCACUGAGCCUCAACCUCAGCCCUUGUUUUGUUGUUUACCAGGAGAAUUUACCAGGGAAACCACUGGGUCUUCCUUCUUUUUUGGAAGGUUAUUAAUUAUUAAUUCAAUUCUUUAACAGAUAUACACCUAUUCAAAUAAUAUAUUUCUCUUGUGUAAGUUUUGGUACUUUGUGUUGCUCAAAGAAUUGAUCCACAUCAUUUAUCAAAUUCACAAGCAUGGAAUUGUUUAUUUAACGUCCUUUUAAUUGUCCAUGAGAUCCAUAACAGUGACCCCUCUUCAAUUUCCAAUAUUAGUAAUUUGGAUCUUCCCCCCUUUUUUAAACUGAUUAGUUCAACUAGAGAUUUUUUUUUUCAAUUUUA